CAAAGGACCUGAAACCAGAAGUCCUGGCAGAAACAAAUGUAGAAUUCCCACUGGAGCUCUAAAAAACUUGCAUGGUCAUAGGAUAUGAGCUAUUUAAUGUUGGUUUUAGAAAGAAUCCCAAAUAAGCUGGCCAGGAGAGAGAAGGCACAGUAACAGGCCACUGGAAGCAAGAGCUAGCUGGAGGUCACUCUCCAAGGAGCACCCAAGUCAGUGAAAACAGAAGCAAGCGGGUGAGAAAGUGAAACAGACCAGCUGGUAAGGUUCGGGAAAGUUUUGUUGAAAAUGUGUUGAGUCUUUUCCUUCAGAGUACUCAGAUGUCAAAAGUAGGCAACUUUAAAAAAAAAAAAUGUCUCAACCACCAAACCACUUGGAAAAAUCGAAGGCCAGGAAAAACCAAGGCCGGAUAAUUCAGAGUUUCGUGACUCAGAGCUGGCUUUCAAAAGAAAAGAGAGAGGAAAAGAAAAAAUCCGCAAAGAACUCCCACUUUGAUUAAUUUCCCCAGUGCUCGUCCGCCCCUCCCCCGCGCCCGCCGCCUUCUCCUGCUCGGCUCCAAUUGGCGCGCUCGGCCCGGCUGCCCGCGAACGCAUCUAUCAGGACACAUUAAUUCUCUCCUGCAGACCUGCGUCAGCGUGCAGGAAAAGAGGAAAAAAGAAAAAGGAAGGGGGGCGGGCGGUGAUGGGGAUGCUCAAAACCAGCAAAGACCGGUUAGGACGGAAAAAAGAAAAAAGAGCGAGAGAAAGAAAGGGGGUGGGGGUGCCUGCUCUGCAAGCCCAGCUGGGAGGAGCGGGAUUCUAGAAGCAUCAUGAGAGGGAAAACAAAAGUCACUGCUCCCUUUGUACCUUGAGCACAUUCAUGGGCCGAUUUUCAAAAGAUGAACCGAUAUUCACUUUGCUCACUAGACCGGGGUUCUCAGCCACGAGGUUAUCCAUUUCUUGGUAAAUCUGGAAGGUUCAAAUGAUAAACAGUCAUCUGUAAUUGAGUGACCGAGCGAAUGCAACUAUUAGGGUCUUGUCGCCCUUCCAUUCCCGGUCUCUCCGCCACCCGGCUGGGGACGGCAGGAAGCCAGCCACAGGGAUGAUGAGUCACUCUGAAAAAGAGAAGCCAUCUUGCCGCAGCAAAGCCGGUUCUUUCCAAUGCUGCGCAAAGUAAAAUGGCAUUUCUGGCUUGCCUGUGGCUCCCGCGCGCACACACAGACACAGACACAGACACACACAGACACACACACACCCGUCUCUCCCCACCCCCCAGACCAUAUCCA